rnacentral:rRNA from 1 species
UACGUAGGGGGGCAAGCGUUUGUCCGGAAUUAUUGGGCGUAAAGAGCUCGUAGGCGGUCUGUCGCGUCUGCUGUGAAAACUCAGGGCUUAACCCUGAGCUUGCAGUGGGUACGGGGCAGACUAGAGUGCGGUAGGGGAGACUGGAAUUCCUGGUGUAGCGGUGAAAUGCGCAGAUAUCAGGAGGAACACCGGUGGCGAAGGCGGGUCUCUGGGCCGUAACUGACGCUGAGGAGCGAAAGCAUGGGGAGCGAACAGG